CAGUGCCAAACAUGCACGGUUCUGGUUUUUCGUGUUACUUUUUACUUUUUUUUUUUUAAUCCUGCGUCUGUUUCUAUUUCGAGCACCUUGGGUGGUGACGGCAGAUGAAGGUGAGGGAGGAGGGCGCCAACCCGCGGUGGAAGCGCGUAGACUCGGACUCAGAACCGGGCACACUCGCGGAGCCUGAAGUCUGCAGUAAUCAGAAGCCUGCAAUACCCAUGUGUCACUGAUCUGGAGACGACCCCCCGCGGGCAGCACUUCAUGACCCAGCGGCGCCCGGCCCAGUG
rnacentral:lncRNA from 1 species